ACAAAAUACUCUUGGGAACAAUGCACCAAUGAACGAAGGCAAAAACACAAAAAAGUUUCCAUUCCACAGGCACAUUUUUAUUUUGUGAGGAAACGCAAACAAGAACUAUAUAUAGACUUUCAAGAGAAAACCCAGCGAGCAGCAAGAGAAUCGAAAUCAUACUUGUUUCAUUACAAUACCGACAAUAACAGACGCAAAAUAUCCUAUUACACCGACCGACGAAAACAAAAGGGCGAAACAAGUUGCGCCAUCAGAUUCUCCUAAUGGCUGGAACAGGUGCACGCAGGCAAAAUAGUCAGCACACCUUCGGUGACUAUUAUGUACAAGAACACUAUGACGACGACGAGGUUGUAUAUAUAUCUUCCUUUUUCAUAUCUCCCUGUAAAGGUUGAGCCUGUUGGCGCCGCCGAGCAUCCUAUUAACGACGGUCGCGGCAGCGACUCCCUGGCCUGGAGAGGACGAGUCUUAUUUUGUAGGCCAACAACAUUCCACAAAAAGGAAAACCAAGUAAACUUUCAUCAGUUAAUGGGUCUUACUUUUGCUCCGUUACAGAUCUGUUUUAAUUUUAUGGUUACAACUGAACUAGAGGACUUGAUUCACACUUCAAUUAAUGCAGAUGCGAUGACAAGAUUGACCUCAUGAAUUUUUCUCAUUACAGUGCAGCGGUCCUUUGUUGAAGGACCCAUCUCAAUAAAUUCUAAGGUAUAUGAUUUUGGGUAUUCCUAGAUACCCAUGCAGGGGAGAUAAAAACUGCAGUUAAAGCUAGGCAUAUUCCAAAUCCUGUCUCGCAUGGUCCAGUUAUCAGAAAAUUUAUUCCAAAUACACAUUUUUGUUUAGCUUUCUAGCUAAGUUUCCUUAGGAUUUUUUGUUUGUGAAGUAAUAUAGGUUGCAAUUAUGCAUAUAUGAUUCUACUCUUUUUUUAGGUUUAUGUUAUUGAGAUGUAGAUCUGCAUUUGAUCUGUUUCACAUGUAUGUUUUAACUCAAUGCACACAUGUAGAUCAGUCCAUGUGUUUAGAAUCAGAGGUGCAGCAGGUUGGACGUCCUUGUAGGAGCAGUCGAGCGGAGGAUCUUCAUACUAACUUGGAUGUAUGCGGUUUUAUGACACAUAGACCUAUUUCAUGAUUUGAACAUUGUAAUCUUACUGUGUGUUUCGGGCUAAAUCUGUAGAAUAUUAUGUUCAUAAAAAAUAAUAACACAUGCAUAUUGCUGACUAAUAAUAGUAUGCCUUGCAGCAUAGUACAUGGUCCACUGCAUUGUACGUAUGUAGAAUACCAACUUUUGAGUGGACCACCGAUCCUACCUAUCUUAGAGCAAGGAUCAUUGCAAGGAGAAAUCAGGUGAAACAGAAGAGUACUGUGAGUUUCCUACACAAUUGACAAAUUAUGCAUACAAGCCAUAUGUGCUAUAACUAGGUACUAAUUGCUGCAUUCUAAUCAUGCAUGUUGGCGAAAAAAUAUGAUGACAAUUGAUGCACUGCUUGUGACAUAUGUUGGGCAGUAAUACGGUGCAUUUUAAAAAAACACUAUUUUGAAAACAAUGUUUGUAAAAUCAAGAAAAGUCUGUGUAUUAAAAAUUGUUAAUGAAAUUGAACAAAAUGUUUGCUAAUUCAAAAAUGUUCAUGAAUUGUAAAAAUCUCCUAAAAUUUAAAAACAGUUCAUGAAUUACAAAAGCGUUUAUUGUUUCAUAAAGUGUUUGCUGAUUCAAAAAAUGUUCAUGCAUUUCAGAAACUGUUCAUGAAUUUCAAAAAUAUCAACCAAUUUCGAAAAGAAUGUUCGCCUAUUCCAGAAUUGUUCGCCGAUUGAAAAGAAAAUGCUUAAAAAGUGUUCAUAAUUUUUCAUAAAUGUUUGCAAAUAGUAAAAAAUGUUCAUGAUUUUUAGUAUUGUUCCCAAAUUUAUAAAAAUAUUCAUGAAUGAUAGAAGGUAUGUAGUUAAACCAAAAUGCUUCUGAUUCUUUGUGACUAUAGACCCGCGUGAUUUUUGAAGACUUUUUACCCGGGUGUAGAUCAGAAUAUUAUAGUAUGUUUUAUGAAAAUCAUUUCUUGAAAUUCAAGAAAAAAUCUUUGAAUUGCCAUGUUUUUUUAUCACCAAUAUAUUUUUUCAAAAAUUUGAACAUUGCUUCAAUUUGUGAAUAAAUUUUAAAAAUGGAACAUAUUCUUGCAUUUGUGCACAAUUUUUCAAAAUCAUGCGAUGAGAUGUGAACAAAAUGUGGUCAUACACAUUGGAGAUUAUCAAUUUUUUUUCCUCCCGUUACAACGCACGGGCCCUUUUGCUAGUAAAUAAAUAAAAUACACAUGACUGUACUUGCUUUACAGGCUGUUCUCUAAAAAUCAAAAGCUUGCAUGGCAGGCUAAGGCUAAGGAUCCUUGAUUCAAACGAAUUACAUAGGAUUUUUAGGGGAUUUGAGUCCUUAUAGUUUUUUUUCUGUGAUGCUUGUUCCAUUCGAAGGAUUGGAAUCAUUCAAAAAAAAAUCAUAGGAUUCAUUUGUACCCCAUUCUGAUCUACGCUUCUCUUCAUCGGCGGCGGUUGCUGUUCUGGUGCACUGGUCCCUCCGGGCCCUUAGCACGACGACUUCCCGACUGUCUAUUAUAACAAGAUUUGUCCGACUCCGGUGAAGGAGAAGCGAUGACGGUGGUGCUCCUUUGGCUUACUUGAGUGAUUGUAGUCGUCGCUAGAUGGUCUACAAAUAUGGGUGUAUUUUUUCUUACUUCUGAUGUCUUUGUAUCGUAUGAUGAAUAGAUUGAAAAUUUUGCAUGAAAAAAAAUAAUCAUGUUACUCUAUUUUGGAGUAUUUUUUCUGUUUUUCUUCUAAUACCAAACACUCUUAAUCCAAAUUAAUGCUGUUUUGUAAUCCUAUAGUAUACAAGAGGACAUGACCCUAUAUUUUUGUGUUUUUUCCUAUUCCUUCAGUUUGAGAAUUUUGUGAAUAAGAAGGCCUUACCUUGGUUGUGAGCAUUCUAACUAUGAAGAGGCCCGGUGCGUGCUCAUAGUGUUUGUAUCUUCUUGAUGCUCCAUCUUGAGUCAAUAAAGUUCAUCCUUUAUCGAAAAAAUGUUACUGAUCAGUUGAGUCAUCACCGAUCCAUCUAUAAUGCAGCACUGUGCAGUGAUUGGUCAGUAAGUCUUCAGUACGGCGUAAUCUGUUAUGGUUCUAGUACAUAACUCAGCAGUUUAUAAUACACAGAUCCAUCCAUGUUCCCUCCUGGGAUUUAAUUUGGCAGCCGAACCUUUCCUUGGUGUAUCAGCACAACAAAAUACCCUCGGGAACAAUGCUCAACACAGAUGAUGUGGAGAGAUGAGGCAUAAAUAAUAAAUGCAUCAAUGAACGAGGCAAAAAGGGUAAAAGGUUUUUCAUUCCACAGGCUCCUUUUUAUUUUGUGAGGAAACGCAAACAAGAACUAUAUAUAGACUUUCGAGAGAAAACCCAGCUAGCAGCAAGAGAAUCGAAAUCAUACUUGUUUCAUUACAAUACCGACAAUAACAACAGACGCAAAAUAUCCUAUUACACCGACCGACGAAAACAAAAGGGCGAAACAAGUUGCGCCAUCAGAUUCUCCUGAUGGCUGGAACAGCUGCACGCAGGCAAAAUAGUCAGCACACCUUCGGUGACUAUUAUGUACAAGAACACUAUGACGACGAGGUUGUAUAUAUCUUCCUUCUUCAUAUCUCCCUGUAAAGGUUGAGCCUGUUGGCGCCGCCGAGCAUCCUAUUAACGACGGUCGCGGCGGCGACUCCCUGGCCUGGAGAGGACGAGUCUUCUCGGAUCUGCAGCGACGAG
rnacentral:lncRNA from 1 species